UAACCUAAAAGAGAGAGGAGAGAGAGAGAGAGAGAGAGAGAGAGAGAGAGAGAGUAGAAGAGAGUAGAUACAGCAUAUAAACUAAUAAAGAGCCUGAUUUACUUUCUUAUAAUGUUUAGUAAUGGAAUCCACAAACACUACAGGUCUACUUAGCAUGUGCGACUUAUUAAAUCCCUCAAGUAUGAUAGGAGACUCAAACUGGACCAGAGGAAAACCAAGACUCUUUUUAAUGGCUGCUAGAUCCUCAGGUAACUGUGACGUGGUGUGCAUACUGACCAACAGUUCACUGGUACUGAUUCGUAGCUGCUCAAUGUAUAUCUGUCUUGAUGGCAGGACUGAUGAACUACCCCUAUAGAGAGAGAAGAGGAAGACAGAGGCAGGAGAAAAUUAUCACAAUAGAAGCAAUAAAUGGAGAGAGGUAUCAGAAGUGAUUUGAUAGUAUCGGCAUCUUUGUCAUUAUUUCUAAUACCAUAGCCUGACCACUGGAUCAAUCGGAAUAACAGCUUCUCCUCAAGUAGAACAGUAAACUGUUUGAUCUUCACAUCGAACGUCUAUCAUGAAAUAAAAUAUUAAGCUUGUAGAGCUAUAGGAAACUGUGCAUGCAUGUACAGUUUCAAAAAUGGCUAAGAAAGAAUUCUACAUUUUUAUAAUCAUGUUCUAAGCUGUGUAUCAACUUUGAGCUAGUUCCAAUCAAAUUUGGAUUUUCUAUGAAUUUUUAAAGUUGCUGUUCUGUAUUGUAGUGCUUAUCAGCUCAUGAAGCAUAACUGACUAUUUAUCCUCCUAUUAACUCACUCUAAAGACAGUAGCUAGUGGUGAAUUGUGUGGGAGUCUCUCAAUGAAGCAACUGAUGACUGGGAAGUUAGUAUCCAACUCUCCUGAGGGAGGAGGAGUGGGGAACAGAACAAUCUGAUGAAACCCAUUAUGCAUCUGAUUAUCAACCUAAUAAUAAUAGUAAAAACAAUGAGUCAUUCAGAUGUGUACUACAUAUUUAAAUCAUGACUUUAAAUCAUUCAAUUAUCC